CGAUCCGCCCUCGCAAACAAAAAGAAAAAAGAAAAAAGAAAAGAAAAACGAAACGAAAGCUUCUUCUUCCUCCUCCCAUGGAGUCGCUUGCGUCGCAAGCGAAGCCGGCGGCCGUGCUCUGGCUCGCCGGCUUCCUCCAGGCCGCGCGCCUCCACCGCGUCGUCUCCUUCUGCGCCAGCUCGAGGCCUCUGUCGGCCAGGAUCGCGCAGUGCUUCCUGCUCAACGGGUUCAUCUUCCUGGGGAGCUUGUUAACCCUAAAAUCGGUGGUCAUUCCAAUCCUUUCGUGGAUACUGCCUGGGGAUUGCAGUCAGUUGCAAGGGCAGCAUCUGUGUGAUCACACAGUAGCUGUAGCGACCUAUUCAUUUCUACGCUCUGUUCUUAUUCAAAUAUUCUAUGUAUUAUGGUUUUAUCCACUUUACAUCUUCAGCUUCGUGUUGAGUACACUUUGGUAUGGACUAUUGUUUUACCAUCCUCAAGAUUCCCGUAUUUCAUAUACUAAACAGUGGUGGGCCCAAUUGUACCUUUUGUAACAUUGGCCAUCUCACGUCAGGUAUAAUGACAUUGCUAAGCAUGCUUUGGAUGUUGUGAAAAGAAAGAGCCUAGAUGCAACUAAAGCAUUGGAUGCUCACACCAUAUCUGAAUCAACAGAGAAACCUGAAGGGUUUGAUGAGUAGGUUCACAUGAAAACUCGUUGAUUGCUUGUUGUUUUUACAUGUUCUGCAUGUUGACAUGCUAUUGUUAGGGUUGCAAUUGGUAUUGGAGAACAGGUCUAUUCAAUUCUUCUUUUAACUAUUUUCUUUAUUGAGGUUUCAGUAAUUGGUUACAUACCUUACUUUGGGAAGCCUAUGAAUUUCCUGCUAUUAUCUUUGAUGUAUGCCUACUACUGCUUCGAGUACAAGUGGAACUUCUUUGCAGUGAGCCUGAAUGAGCGGCUUGAUUUCUUUGAGUCAAAUUGGGCCUUUUUUGCUGGAUUCGGUAUGUUGAUAAUCAUUCAUUGCAUAUGGUGCAAAAUAUAUGCUUUUGCCUUCUUAGGCCAUGAUGCCCUGCCUGUUUCAGCUUUGGACUGUAAUGCAAAGUGAUUUUGCAUUUUAAAGUUUUGAUUUUUAAGAAUAAUUUUAGGUAGAUUUUUACUUGUAUUCUUAGCAAUCUCGAGAAGAGAACUGGACAAAAGUCACAAAGAGAACUCCUAAAAUCCUUAUGGUUAUGCAAAUGUAAUUGUUGGAAAGUAAUCUAAACUAUAAACCUUUUUGUUUCUUGUGCAUAUGUUCUUGGCAAGAAAUACAUGCAUCUCUAAUCGUCUUUAUGGAAAGUGUUGGUACUUAUGGGAUCUUAAUUCUCUCAACUUGUGGUCAUCAUGCUUGGCAGUUAGCAGAUAAGUCAUCUAUUGGAAGUAAUCCUGUACCAAGCUGAACGUUGAGCAUUUUCUUGUAAUUUUCAUGGACAAAUAUAUCUCGGAUAGGUUCUCAGGCAGUCCUAGCUAUUUGCGGCAUGCAUGUUCCUUAUAAAGUUUGCAGGAUCCUAUAUAACUGACAGUUGUUGAUCUGUUUUGAUGUACCUUUAUAAAUGGCAUAUGUUACUAUGUAAUUCUGUUUCUGUACAUUCUUCGACUUACUCCGUGUAUGCUAGCAUUUAUGUGAUUGACAUGUUCUUUGAUACCAUUUUUAUAUAGGUAGUCCAUGUGUACUUCCAAUUUUCUUCUUCUCUCCUCUUACAAGUUAUGGUGUAAUGGCAAUACUUUAUCCACUGGUAUGGAGAAACACUCACUAGCAGCAUUUUUUGUUUCCAUUUAAACAGCAUGCAGACAUACUUGCUCUUGUAAAAUAGGCAUAGAAGCUAGACAUGGAAAAUCCCUUAAAAGCACUAACUCAUAAUGCCAUUCCCAAUUCUUAUUUGGGCCAAUUUGUUUGGUUCCAUCACAAAAAACACAAGAGUUGGAAAAUACCGUCGCACGUGUCAUUGACAGGUGGGUCCAGACACCACAUGUCAAUUGUCAUUCUUACAUAUGAUGUUAAAUUUUAACUCAUUUAUCUCUACGAUGGUAUUUUUCCAAAUUCUCUUAUUAAAAAGAACUCAAUCCGCAAUUCUACAUCCAGUCCUUUUCUCCACCGAAACUGGUGUGGAAACUGGAUGAGAAAAAACAGUAUCUUCCUUUGUUCCCUUCCAUCUAAUAAUAUUUCCCAUCCAACAUAUUCUGAGUGCAGUUAUGCAAUGUUGUCUGUUGCAGUUUGUAUUGACUGCUGCAGGUACCCAAGCAGAAAAAGUAAUUGAUCAACUGAAACCUUCGCAUGGAGGGAAACUGCAGAGAAUACCUGUUUUCUUCAUAGCUAAGCGACUAACGACUCAAGUGCUGCAAUUGUUUCCAGAGGUACACAAAGAACAAUGAAAGGAUCCACAUAACCAUAGCAAAGGAAACAAACGCUGUGCUGGGCUUUAUCACAGUGCUGCUGUUGAAGUUACACCCGAAGGGUGUAUAACCAGAACUGUAAAACUGUAAAUAUUCCGCCAUUGCGAUUGUAUAUAUGGGGAUAAAGGGAAUUAAAAAAAAAACUAUACUUGUGCAAUGAUGUCAUUCAUAUUUGUGUACAUAAGUACAUAACAACAGCAACAUCUCUUUGUUCUACGAAAUGUUAUAGCCAGCAGAAAGGUUAAUGCCAUUACUAGUGCUAACUUCUAAAGUGA